UGCGCCCCAAGCCGGCGGCCCCGCCUCCGCCUCUGGCUCCCGCCUUCCCCGCCCCAGGCCGGGCUUCGCUCCUCCCCUCGCGGCCGCCCCCAGCCUGGGCAGGUUCGCUAGGUUCCCACCCCGCCCCUGCGCCGCCGGCGCUGCAGGCUCAGCCGCCUCCCAUUGGCUCCUCCGGUUGCUAGGCGAUGAACAACCGCGGCCUGCAUUGGCCCCCCGAGUCUCCUCCACCCCCUCCAAAAAAACCUAGAGAAAAAGAAAACCUUAUCCCUAGAGCCGGAGAGGGAUGCGGGCGCAGCUGCGGCUGCGGCACCUGUUACGCCCUGUGAUUCACCCGGGCCCUGCUCCCCGCCCCCUCCUUACGCCCGCAGGGCUGGGGCCCCCGGGCUCCGUGGGGGAAGCGGGUCGUGGCUGUUUUAAAGCACGUGUUCCGAACCCCAGUGAACCCCAACACCCACCCUAGAAGCAAAAGUGAAGCAUCCCAGAAGAGCCACGUGCGCUGGCAAAAGUGGAGAAAUAAACCAAACAACAGCCGGCACCCACAAUUAGGGUUCCUAAGAUUUGAGAACUGAUCUAAACCUGUCUUGAUACUCUGUACCCCUUUGUUAACUGGAUUAGGACCUGAGCAUGUGACCUAAUUCUGCUUCCAGUGAGCAAGACCUGUUUGUUUGUACCUGCCGUACAUCCCCCAAUAGUGAAAGAAAAGCAAGAAAAAUACAGGAAAAGCAACCCAGAACCCAGACAUCACUGAGUAGGGCUCUGCCUACCUGCAGAAUGCUCACAUGCUUGUUCACUGAUGUAUCACCAACGCCUGAAAGGCUGCGUGGUACUUAGUGAUUUGUGCUCAAUAUUUAUUUGGUGAAUAAACAAACAUAACUUCAAAA